UUAUUUGUUUUUUAAUUUGUUUUUUUUUUCAGAAGGAUAGUCUGUGAUUUGGUGGGUUUGGUGUUUUGGUUUGUUAGAUCUCUGUUUGGGUGUUUUAGAGUGGUCUGGAGCUUUAUUGGUUGUGAAGUAUGUUUUUUUUUAAGGGUUUUAGGGUUUCUUUUGGGGCUGGUUUUAUGAUUUUUUAAAUCAGGACGGCAGCUUAGAGGCUUUGGUUUUGAUGAAAAGUUUUGUUAAAUUUUUGGUAUCUGGACUUGGCAACCAGCAAGCUUUUGUUUUGGAGGGAGUGGCAGAAUUCCUGGUAAACUGAAGAACUUUUGUUGGCUAGUAAUAAAAAGGCGUGAGCAAAGUCUUCUCGAUCAGAGCAUCAUCAUCACUGUUUACAUUCAUGCUGUUUGUGCUGCUUCAUGGCUUAUAUCAUUGGAAGCGGCCAAUCAUGCUGAUAAGGGACCGGUAGUCCUUGGUUAGGAAUUUGACAGUUUAUCAGUU